CCAUGUUUUGUCCCAAGAGAUGUCAGUGGCAAAAGGAAGGUACAUUGUCCACUGGGAAUAUACUAUGUAAUUGCUUUCUCCCCCUAUGUUAUGCUAGAAUUUUCUGGAAAACAGAUAAACAGUAAAACUAAGAUUUGUUAUGCAUUUCACUUUUAACACAUUUAAAGAUAGAAACUCACUGCAAACACCGAAAUAAGCACACCUUCCACUGGCAUCUUUGCUACUCCCACCCUCCAUUAGGACCACAUAGAAUCCAGUAGGCUGCCUCCUGGACUCAUGGAGAUCCCUCUGCCCUUCCCUAAUAAUUUAUCCCAGAGCUGUUAACUCCAGAAUGACCCAUCCCUGUUCUUUAAGCUGGUAAUGAAAAAUAAACAAACAGUGAAUACUGGAUUCUCAUGUAGGUGAGGGCAUGUCACAGACUCUCUGACCCUUACUUGAUGCUCCUGUGUUGACCACCUGUUUCCCGGAUCAGAGGCCCUGGCAGAGUGGGAGGAGCCACGAUCUGGCACAGUGCUAGGAGUUGCCUCCAGGGUUUAUCUUUGAUUUCAGUCUAUUGUGACAAAAGUUUUGCUAUUCUUGCCACUGAUAUGUUUCUGUUGCAAUCUGCUUUUCCCCUGGGAUGUCAAGACUUCAAGAGCAGGAAGCACACUAUGUUGUCCUUGACAUAAGUCCACUUGUGUAGAUGUGUUUGUUGUUCUGGGAAGUGGGACUUGGGGUAGAAAUUUUAGAAUUGAAACCAUAGGAGGCAGUGAGUUCAAAUGGGGUGAAUGUGUGAGAAAAGGAUAUAGGAUUAAUUCACCACACAGAGGAAAAAACAUCUUUCUGACACCAGUGAUUCAAGGCUGAAAAAUGCAAUGAAAAUGGAGAUUCUGUUAAAAUAGAAACAGGACAUUAAAUUCUUGGCUACUAAUAUCAU
rnacentral:lncRNA from 1 species